CGGGUGAGUAACACGUGGAUAACCUACCUAUAAGACUGGGAUAACUUCGGGAAACCGGAGCUAAUACCGGAUAAUAUAUUGAACCGCAUGGUUCAAUAGUGAAAGACGGUUUUGCUGUCACUUAUAGAUGGAUCCGCGCCGCAUUAGCUAGUUGGUAAGGUAACGGCUUACCAAGGCAACGAUGCGUAGCCGACCUGAGAGGGUGAUCGGCCACACUGGAACUGAGACACGGUCCAGACUCCUACGGGAGGCAGCAGCG
rnacentral:rRNA from 1 species